rnacentral:rRNA from 1 species
AUUGAACGCUGGCGGCAGGCCUAACACAUGCAAGUCGAGCGAGCGGCGGACGGGUGAGUAAUGUCUGGGAAACUGCCUCAUGGAGUGGGAUAACUACUGGAAACGGUAGCUAAUACCGCAUACCAUCAGAUGUGCCCAGAUGGGAUUAGCUAGUAGGUGGGGUAACGGCUCACCUAGGCGACGAUCCCUCGCUGGUCUGAGAGGAUGACCAGCCACACUGGAACUGAGACACGGUCCAGACGCCUACGGGAGGAAGGAGUGGGGAAUAUGGCACAAUGGGCGCAAGCCUGAUGCAGCCAUGCCGCGUGUGUGAAGAAGGCCUGCGGGUUGUAAAGCACUUUCAGCGGGGAGGCGUUACCCGCAGAAGAAGCACCGGCUAACUCCGUGCCAGCAGCCGCGGUAAUUC